rnacentral:lncRNA from 1 species
ACCAGAUACCCAGCACAUAACACAUUCUUAAUAAGAUGUCAUAUUAAUGAACAUCAAAACAUCUGGAUGAGGGGAUAAUUUGUUUCAUCUUGCUCCAGAUAUUGGCUAUUAUGUUUGCAGAGCUGGCACACCCAGUGCUGGGUCAAUGUGAUUCAAAACUGAGAGGACCCCCAGUGAAAAUUUCUGUCCAGUUUUUUUCCAGGUAAGGAGCCUAGGAAGCCCCUUCCUCCCAUAUUGGGUCUCAGAGCCAUGCUUCAAGAAUCAGAAAAGCCUCAAGAAUCAUCUAGCCUUCCUUACUCUUCAAUGCUAUUCUUCUCUGAACAUUGAGGUCCUAGAUGCAGACAUUGCUGAAUGCAAGGUGGCUGGAGGCCCUGGAGUAGUCCCUGUAUCUCAGGUGAGACUUAACCUUGGGCCCUGAGGUCCAGGUAGCAUCAUCUUCAUGAAUCUUUAACCCCACGUUAGGCAGGGAAAAUUUUUUUAAGUGCCUUUCACAGAGGGCAGUAUGGUGUACUGAAAAUACAUGAGCUUUGGAUUCAGGCAGAUGCUGGUCAAAAACCUGGCUCUACCACUGUCUGGAUUUAUGCAUUUGGACAAGUUAUUUAACCUCUCUGAGCCCCCAGGUUUUUCAUCACUAAAAAUGAAGAUAAAGUGAGGAUUGAAUGAAAAAACAUAUGGAGGUAAACAGCACAGUGUCUGGCACAUAAUAAGCAUUAGCCAAUG